GACGUAGGAGGCGAGCGUUAUCCGGAUUUAUUGGGCGUAAAGGGCAAGUAGGCGGUUGUCAAAGUUGGGCGUGACAACUCCCGGCUCAACUGGGAGGGUGCGUUCAAAACUAGGCAACUAGAGGGCAGGAGAGGGAAGUGGAAUUCCCAGUGUAGCGGUGGAAUGCUCAGAUAUUGGGAAGAACACCAGUGGCGAAGGCGGCUUCCUGGCCUGCACCUGACGCUGAGAGGCGAAAGCUAGGGUAGCAAACGGGCUUAGAUACCCCUGUAGUCCCUGAG
rnacentral:rRNA from 1 species